GACGAACGCUGGCGGCGUGCUUAACACAUGCAAGUCGAACGGAAAGGCCCUGCUUUUGUGGGGUGCUCGAGUGGCGAACGGGUGAGUAACACGUGAGUAACCUGCCCUUGACUUUGGGAUAACUUCAGGAAACUGGGGCUAAUACCGGAUAGGCGCUCCUGCUGCAUGGUGGGGGUUGGAAAGUUUCGGCGGUUGGGGAUGGACUCGCGGCAUAUCAGCUUGUGGGUGGGGUAGUGGCUGACCAAGGCUUUGACGGGUAGCCGGCCUGAGAGGGUGACCGGCAACAUUGGGACUGAGAUGCGGCCCAGACUCCUACGGGAGGCAGCAGAGGGGAGUAUUGCACAAUGGGCGGAAGCCUGAUGCAGCAACGCCGCGUGCGGGAUGACGGCCUUCGGGUUGUAAACCGCUUUCGCCUGUGACGAAGCGUGAGUGACGGUAAUGGGUAAAGAAGCACCGGCUAACUACGUG
rnacentral:rRNA from 1 species